rnacentral:rRNA from 1 species
GACGAACGCUGGCGGCGUGCUUAACACAUGCAAGUCGAGCGGUAAGGCCCUUUCGGGGGUACACGAGCGGCGAACGGGUGAGUAACACGUGGGUGACCUGCCCUCAGCUCUGGGAUAAGCCUGGGAAACUGGGUCUAAUACUGGAUAUGACUCCACGGUGCAUGUCGUGGGGUGGAAAGCCUUGUGCGGCUGAGGAUGGGCCCGCGGCCUAUCAGCUUGUUGGUGGGGUGANGGCCUACCAAGGCGACGACGGGUAGCUGGUCUGAGAGGAUGAUCAGCCACACUGGGACUGAGACACGGCCCAGACUCCUACGGGAGGCAGCAGUGGGGAAUAUUGGACAAUGGGCGAAAGCCUGAUCCAGCAAUGCCGCGUGUGUGAAGAAGG